AUUGAACGCUGGCGGCAGGCCUAACACAUGCAAGUCGAACGGUAACAGGAAACAGCUUGCUGUUUCGCUGACGAGUGGCGGACGGGUGAGUCAUGUCUGGGAAACUGCCUGAUGGAGGGGGAUAACUACUGGAAACGGUAGCUAAUACCGCAUAACGUCGCAAGACCAAAGAGGGGGACCUUCGGGCCUCUUGCCAUCGGAUGUGCCCAGAUGGGAUUAGCUAGUAGGUGGGGUAACGGCUCACCUAGGCGACGAUCCCUAGCUGGUCUGAGAGGAUGACCGGCCACACUGGAACUGGAACACGGUCCAGACGCCUACGGGAGGCAGCAGUGGGGAAUAUUGCACAAUGGGCGCAAGCCUGAUGCAGCCAUGCCGCGUGUAUGAAGAAGGCCUUCGGGUUGUAAAGUACUUUCAGCGGGGAUGAAGGGAGUAAAGUUAAUACCUUUGCUCAUUGACGUUACCCGCAGAAGAAGCACCGGCUAACUCCGUG
rnacentral:rRNA from 1 species